GAAGAUAAGAAGAUAAAGAUAAGGAUAAAGAUAAAGAUAAGGAUAAAGAUAAGGAAGAUAAAGAUAAGGAUAAAGAUAAGGAUAAAGAAGAUAAAGAUAAGGAAGAUAAAGAUAAGGAUAAAGAUAAGGAAGAUAAUGAUAAGAAUAAAGAUAAAGAAGAUAAAGGAUAAAUAUAAGGAAGAUAAGGAUAAAGAUAAGAGGAUAAAUAUAAGGAAGAUAAGGAUAAGGAAGAUAAGAAGAUAAAGAUAAGAAGAUAAAGAUAAGGAUAAAGAUAAGGAUAAGGAUAA
rnacentral:lncRNA from 1 species